GACAGAGGGUGCAAACGUUGUUCGGAAUUACUGGGCGUAAAGCGAGUGUAGGCGGUCUGCUAAGUCGGGUGUGAAAGCCCCGGGCUCAACCCGGGAAGUGCACUCGAAACUGGCAGGCUAGAGUAUCGGAGAGGUUGGUGGAAUUCUCGGUGUAGAGGUGAAAUUCGUAGAUAUCGAGAGGAACACCGGUGGCGAAGGCGGCGACCUGGUCCGACACUGACGCUGAGGCGCGAAAGCGUGGGGAGCAAACAGG
rnacentral:rRNA from 1 species